rnacentral:rRNA from 1 species
CUGAUUAGCUAGUUGGUAAGGUAACGGCUUACCAAGGCGACGAUCAGUAGCCGACCUGAGAGGGUGAUCGGCCACAUUGGAACUGAGACACGGUCCAAACUCCUACGGGAGGCAGCAGGGGGGAAUAUUGCACAAUGGGCGAAAGCCUGAUGCAGCAACGCCGCGUGAGUGAUGAAGGCCUUCGGGUCGUAAAACUCUGUCCUCAAGGAAGAUAAUGACGG